rnacentral:rRNA from 1 species
GAUGAACGCUGGCGGCGUGCCUAAUACAUGCAAGUCGAGCGAACGGACGAUAAUCUUGUUUCUCGGAUGUUAGGGGCGGACGGGUGAGUAACACGUGGAUAACCUCCCUAUAAGACGGGGAUAACUUCGGGAAUCGGGCGCUAAUACCGGAUGAUAUUCUGAACCGCAUGGUUGAAAAGUGAAAGACGGUCUUGCUGGCAGUUAUAGCUGGAUACGCGCUGCAUUAGCUAGUUGUUAAGGUAACGGCUUACCAAGGCAACGAUGCAUAGCCGACCUGAGAGAGUGAUCGGCCACACUGGAACUUGAACAGCCACCAUGCGACUGCGGGACGCCGCAGAAGGCUAUCUUACGCAGUGGGGGAGAACAUGACGCAGCAACGCCACGUCAGUGGUGACGAUCCUCCGAGCGUAAAGAUCUGUUAUUAGUGGAGAACAUAUGUGUAAGUAACUGUGCACAUCUUGACGGUACCUAGUCAGAAAGCAACGGCUAACUACGUG